AGCUCAGUUGGUAGGGCGUUUGCCUGUUAAUCAAGAGGUUGUAGGAUCAAGUCUGACCGUG
rnacentral:tRNA from 12 species